rnacentral:miRNA from 1 species
AAUUAUAUUUGAUGAGUAA